UGGGAUUUUAACUAAAUCUCUUCCCAUCCUAGGAUUAGCAUUAAAAGAGUCACUUCCAAAGGGGCUGAGGUGAGCAAUCUGGGCACAACAAGCUGUAGGAGAAGCCUGGGCUGGGAGCGGCGUGUCCGGGCUGCUGCACGAUCUCAGGAACCAUGAACACGGACGCCGGCGCCACCCACGGAGGGUGUCGGCCAGACUAAUGGGGGCAAGUAGUGGGACGUCCCUGGCACUUGCCCCAGCUCAGCACUGUGAUGGAAUUUCCCUCCAGGAAAUCUUGCUCUAAGAGGAAUUCCUGAGCCAUCCCUCCCCUGGGUAUCUCCCUCCACGACCCCAGACUGAACAGGCCAAGCGCAGGACUGAAGACACCACGCAGCCAUCAUGAACCAUCCAUUCAAAGCCUCACGUGGGACAGAGCACGGUUGGCACCCACAGGAAGGAUCAGGCUGGCGUGGAGAAUAGGAAGUCAGAGCCUGAAACAGUCCCAGGCUCUGUCCACUGACAGUCUUGGAGCUCUCUCACCCCAGCAACCCAAAGCACACAAAAUACUAUUCUCCACCCAAACAAGGUGGAGAAAUGACGGGUCCAGGGCAAGGAAGAUACAAGAUAGACUUGGACCAUCUUGUCUUUCAAAGCAAGGAGGUACCUUACGAAUAAAGGAGAUAUGGCAACAGCACCCAGAAGCCAGAUUUAGAGGGCUUCCACUGACUAAUUCGGGACCAAUUAUACAACUCCUUGAAUAAAAAAAGAAAAAAAGAAACCUUGAGUCUCUACUAAUAGAAGUAAAUAAAUACAUUGAAAAUGUGAUAAGGAAUUAAAUACUUGCAUAGCUGCCACGUGCAUCCACCGCGAAAUAUUUUAUUACUAUUAGUUACAAGAGAAAAACAACGGUGACUUUAGUAGAGAAACCUGGCAAAUUCUACCAUAAUAAUGUGGACAAAGUAAACAUUACUGGAUCAGCCUGGAAUUGAAGGGGAACUGGAUGCAGUGGGAAGAACGAACCUCACUUCCAUGGAGAAUCCGAAUCUAAUCGGGACAAACCCAUGCCGAGGGACCUUCCACAAAAAACACCUGGCUUAUAACCUUCCAGAGUCAAAGUCACGUGCCAAAGAGAGCCUGAGGAACCAUAUCAGACCCAAGCAGGAUAGAGACAUGACAACUAAAAAAAAAAAAAAAAAAAAAAAAGCAUGACUCUGAAUUGGAUUAUUUUGCUAAAAAGGACAUUAUUGGGACACAUGGUAACAUUUCAAUAGUCUGAGCUAAGUGGUAGCCUAAUGUUAGUGUCAAGGUCCUGCUGUGGACGGUUGCCUGUGGUUACAUAUGCAAACAUCCAUGUCUGUAAACAAGAUACACUAACAUAUGCAAAUAGCAAAUGGUUUAGGAAAAAACAUUGUACUGAAUUGUAGCCUCUGAGCUUGGAAUUACUUCAAACACUUCAAAAUAUACUUUUAAAAUAUAAUAAGCUGCGAAUGAUAUUUGAUUCCAAUCAUGCUUUUAAAGAUAUACAUGUUUGUAUGUAUAUUUGAGCAUAAAAAGGCUAAAAGUAUAUGCACCAAAAUAUCGACUGAUUAACUUUGAGUAAGUUCACUUGACUACGACUUUCUUUUGUUCUGUAUUUUUCUAAUUUUCUUUUUUUUUAUUUUCCUAAGUUUCUAAGAUGAAUUGCAUUGCUUUUUUUCUUGAUUCAUUAAAUCACUAGAAGAAAAAGUAGAAAUACAGAUCAACAACAACAAAAAUAAUCAAUUAAAAUUACCGUCUCGGAAUACCUGGGUGGCUCAGCGGUUUAGCGCCGCCUUCAGCCCAGGGCCUGAUCCUGGAGACCCCGGAUCUAGUCCCACAUCGGGCUCCCUGCAUGGAGCCUGCUUCUCCCUCUGCCUGUGUCUCUGACUCUCUCUCUCUCUCUCUCUCUCUCUCUGUGUGUGUCUCUCAUGAAUAAAUAAAUGAAAUCUUUUAAAAAUUAAAUUAAAUUAAAUUAAAUUAAAUUAAAUUAAAUUAAAAUUACCCUCUCAUCACUAAAAGGUAACCACAGAUGAUAUUUUGACAUCUAUCCUUCCAGGAUUUUUUUCCAUGCAAAUAUAUACAUAUAGUUUUUUUAUGUUUCUGUAAAAUGGAAUCUUAAUAAACACAUUAUAAUUUUUUUCACUGAAUUUAUCUACAUUUAUAACAUCCAUGUUAAAAGUAUAGGUAUUCAUUAUCACUUUUAGAGGUUGAAUAGGAUUUCACUGUGAGAUUACUG
rnacentral:lncRNA from 1 species